AGGCCCGUCGUAUAGCGGUCAAGUAUAGAGGGCUUUGGCAGUCGUUUGGCUGAAGAGACCCUUUGACGGCGGUUCGAAUCCGCCCGGGCCUA
rnacentral:tRNA from 1 species